rnacentral:rRNA from 1 species
UACGAAGGGGGCUAGCGUUGCUCGGAAUUACUGGGCGUAAAGGGAGCGUAGGCGGAUCGUUAAGUUGGGGGUGAAAGCCCGGGGCUCAACCUCGGAAUUGCCUUCAAUACUGGCGAUCUUGAGUAUGGGAGAGGUGUGUGGAACUCCGAGUGUAGAGGUGAAAUUCGUAGAUAUUCGGAAGAACACCAGUGGCGAAGGCGGCUCACUGGCCCGAUACUGACGCUCAGGCGCGAUAGCGUGGGGAUCAAACAGG